rnacentral:rRNA from 1 species
GAUGAACGCUGGCGGCGUGCCUAAUACAUGCAAGUCGAGCGGUAAGGCCUCUUCGGAGGUACACGAGCGGCGGACGGCUGAGUAACGCGUAGGAACAUACCCCAAAGUGAGGGAUAACUGCUCGAAAGAGUAGCUAAUACCGCAUGUGAUCUAAGGAUUAAAGCUUCGGCGCUUUGGGAAUGGCCUGCGUAUGAUUAGUUUGUUGGUGAGGUAAUGGCUCACCAAGACUACGAUCAUUAGCUGGUCUGAGAGGAUGAUCAGCCAGACUGGGACUGAGACACGGCCCAGACUCCUACGGGAGGUAGCAGUAGGGAAUCUUCCACAAUGGGCGAAAGCCUGAUGGAGCAACGCCGCGUGCGGGAUGAAGGCCUUCGGGUUGUAAACUGCUUUUAUAUGCGAAGAUUAUGACGGUAGCAUAUGAAUAAGGAUCGGCUAACUCCGUGCCAGCCGCCGCGGUAA